AGAACGCUGGCGGCAGGCCUAACACAUGCAAGUCGAGCGGUAACAGGGGUAGCUUGCUACCCGCUGACGAGCGGCGGACGGGUGAGUAAUGCAUAGGAAUCUGCCCGGUAGUGGGGGAUAACCUGGGGAAACCCAGGCUAAUACCGCAUACGUCCUACGGGAGAAAGGGGGCUUCGGCUCCCGCUAUUGGAUGAGCCUAUGUCGGAUUAGCUAGUUGGUGAGGUAAAGGCUCACCAAGGCAACGAUCCGUAGCUGGUCUGAGAGGAUGAUCAGCCACAUCGGGACUGAGACACGGCCCGAACUCCUACGGGAGGCAGCAGUGGGGAAUAUUGGACAAUGGGGGCAACCCUGAUCCANCCAUGCCGCGUGUGUGAAGAAGGCCCUCGGGUUGUAAAGCACUUUCAGCGAGGAA
rnacentral:rRNA from 1 species